AUAAUGGGCAACAUCUUAGCAAGUCCUUGUACCUCUCCCACACAUCAUACAUGCUCUCAUCAUUAAACUACACAAAAGAAGAAAUAUCAUUACGCAUCUU
rnacentral:snoRNA from 1 species